GCUUGCCUAGCUCAAUCGGAUAGAGUAUCAGACUCUUAUUCAACCAAUGCGGUGGCCUGAAGGCUAGGGGUUCGACCCCCCGGUGGGCU